rnacentral:rRNA from 1 species
GACGAACGCUGGCGGCGUGCUUAACACAUGCAAGUCGAACGGUGAAGCGCUUGCCUUUUUGGUGGGUGUGGAUGAGUGGCGAACGGGCGAGUAACACGUGAGUAACCUGCCCUCUUCUUCUGGAUAACCUCAUGAAAGUGGGGCUAAUACGGGGUAUUCCGGGUCUGUCGCAUGGCGGGUUUGGGAAAGAUUGCGCCUUUGGGUGUUUUCGGUGGGGGAUGGGCUCGCGGCCUAUCAGCUUGUUGGUGGGGUGAUGGCCUACCAAGGCGGUGACGGGUAGCCGGCAUGAGAGGGUGGACGGCCACACUGGGACUGGGACACGGCGCAGACGCCUGCGGGAGGCAGCAGUGGGGAAUAGUGCACAAUGGGCGCAAGCCUGAUGCAGCGACGCCGCGUGAGGGAUGGAGGCCUUCGGGUUGUGAACCUCUUUCGCCAGUGAAGCAGGCCUGCUCCUGUGUGGGUGGGUUGACGGUAGCUGGAUAAGAAGCGCCGGCUAACUACGUG